rnacentral:rRNA from 1 species
UACGUAGGGCGCAAGCGUUAUCCAGAAUUAUUGGGCGUAAAGAGCUCGUAGGCGGUUUGUCGCGUCUGCCGUGAAAGUCCGGGGCUCAACUCCGGAUCUGCGGUGGGUACGGGCAGACUAGAGUGAUGUAGGGGAGACUGGAAUUCCUGGUGUAGCGGUGAAAUGCGCAGAUAUCAGGAGGAACACCGAUGGCGAAGGCAGGUCUCUGGGCAUUAACUGACGCUGAGGAGCGAAAGCAUGGGGAGCGAACAGG